rnacentral:rRNA from 1 species
GUGAACGCUGGCGGUAGGCCUAACACAUGCCAGUCGAACGGCAGCACAGUAAGAGCUUGCUCUUACGGGUGGCGAGUGGCGGACGGGUGAGGAAUACAUCGGAAUCUACUUUUUCGUGGGGGAUAACGUAGGGAAACUUACGCUAAUACCGCAUACGACCUACGGGUGAAAGCAGGGGAUCUUCGGACCUUGCGCGAUUGAAUGAGCCGAUGUCGGAUUAGCUAGUUGGCGGGGUAAAGGCCCACCAAGGCGACGAUCCGUAGCUGGUCUGAGAGGAUGAUCAGCCACACUGGAACUGAGACACGGUCCAGACUCCUACGGGAGGCAGCAGUGGGGAAUAUUGGACAAUGGGCGCAAGCCUGAUCCAGCCAUACCGCGUGGGUGAAGAAGGCCUUCGGGUUGUAAAGCCCUUUUGUUGGGAAAGAAAAGCAGCAGGUUAAUACCCCGCUGUUCUGACGGUGCCCAAAGAAUAAGCACCGGCUAACUUCGUG